rnacentral:rRNA from 1 species
CCCUUCGGGGAGCUUGUACAGGUGCUGCAUGGCUGUCGUCAGCUCGUGUCGUGAGAUGUUCGGUUAAGUCCGCUAACGAGCGCAACCCCUCGCUGUGUGUUACAAGUGUCACACGGAACUGCCGGUCAUAAACCGGAGGAAGGUGGGGAUGACGUCAAGUCAGCAUGGCCUUUAUAUCCUGGGCUACACACACGCUACAAUGGGAAGGGACAAUAGGUUGCGAAGCCGCGAGGCGGAGCCAAUCCAGCAAAACUUCCCUCAGUUCAGAUUGCAGGCUGCAACUCGCCUGCAUGAAGUUGGAGUUGCUAGUAAACGCAGGUCAGCCAUACUGCGUUGAAUACGUUCCCGGGCUU